rnacentral:lncRNA from 1 species
CUCCUCCACCACCAUAUUACUACAAAUCUCCUCCCCCUCCGUCUCCUAUUCCCCACACACCUUACUACUACAAGUCCCCACCACCACCAAAGGUCCUUCCACCACCAUACUAUUACAAUUCUCCUCCUCCACCUGUUGUGUAUCCUCACCCAUAUCCCUACCACCACUCACUUAUUGUGAGGGUAGUCGGUAAAGUCUACAGCUUCAGAUGUUAUGAUUGGAAUUAUCCUGCAAAGUCUCAUAACAAGAAACAUCUCAAAGGUACAUUACAUUUCUUAGGACCGGACCUCUUUAGAGUAAUGUGUUUAGAGAUAAUGCACAAUUUUUUAUUUUUUUAUCUCGUAAAGGUUUAUUUAUUAUAAUCACAAUUUCACUUUUGUCAAAAAGAAAAACAAUUUUACUAUAUAUAGUUUUAAUCAUUAACAUUUUGAUGUAAAAAGAAUACAAUUCUCUAUUACCUUUUUACUAUGAUAUAUAUACAAAGAUUAUUCAAAUCUAUAUAUCCAACCUAAUUUCCAUCCAAAAAAAUAGAAAACAUAGGGUGCUUUGAACGCCUGCAGCAUCACAUGAAUAAAUAAAAACAAUCAAUAAUCAACCUUGUUCUAAUUUAUUUUAGACAGCGAUUGUUAAGCAUACUGCUCUUUUAAUUACAUUUUUUUUAAAGAUGCUCUUUUAAUUAUAUUGUCCUAAUAUAAUAUGUGUCUUUAUAUAUUACUUGUCGUAAACUAAUUUUAUUAUGGGUGCAGGAGCUGUUGUUGAGGUGACAUGCAAAGCCGGGAGCAAAAUUGUCAAGGCUUAUGGAAAAACUAAGAACAAUGGAAAGUAUGCCAUCACAGUUAAGGACUUUGACUAUGUCAAAUAUGGUUCGACAGUGUGCAAGGCUGCCCUAUAUGCUCCACCUAAGGGUUCACCCUUCAACAUACCUACAAAGCUAAAUCAAGGAACAAAGUUGUACUUGAAAUCCAAAGACAAGUACGAGGUUGUGCUCAAGGCUAAGCCAUUUGCUUAUGCUUCAAAGAAACAUUUCAAAGAAUGUGAGAAGCCUAAGCCUUCACCAACUCCUUACUACUACAAAUCACCUCCACCUCCCUCACCAGUUUACAAAUACAACUCACCACCUCCACCGGUCCAUUAUUAUUCACCUCCAUACACCUACAAGUCACCUCCUCCCCCUGUGAAAGCGGCACCAACUCCUUACUACUACAAAUCACCUCCACCACCCGCACCGGUUUACAAGUACAACUCACCCCCUCCACCGGUCCAUUAUUAUUCACCACCAUAUACCUAUAAGUCACCUCCUCCCCCUGUGAAAGCGGCACCAACUCCUUACUACUACAAAUCACCUCCACCUCCCGCACCGGUUUACAAGUACAACUCCCCACCUCCACCGGUCCAUUAUUAUUCACCUCCAUAUACCUACAAGUCACCUCCUCCCCCUGUGAAAGUGGCACCAACUCCUUACUACUACAAAUCACCUCCACCACCCGCACCGGUUUACAAGUACAACUCACCACCUCCACCGGUCCAUUAUUAUUCUCCACCAUACUACUACAAGUCACCACCCCCACCAUCUCCAUCACCUCCUCCACCAUACUAUUUCAAAUACUAUUACAAGUCCCCACCUCCACCAUCACCAUCCCCUCCUCCACCUUAUUAUUACAAAUCUCCUCCUCCACCAAAACAAAUUUCACACCCUCCAUACUACUAUAAGUCACCACCCCCACCAUCACCAUCACCUCCUCCACCAUACUAUUAUAAGUCUCCACCUCCACCAUCACCAUCUCCCCCACCACCUUAUUAUUAUAAGUCACCACCCCCACCAUCCCCGUCCCCUCCUCCACCAUACUACUACAAGUCUCCACCUCCACCUAAAGAAAUAUCACAUCCUCCAUAUAACUAUAAGUCACCACCCCCACCAUCACCAUCCCCUCCCCCUCCAUACUAUUACAAAUCUCCUCCACCACCAUCACCAUCACCACCACCUCCCUACUAUUACAAAUCACCUCCACCACCAUCACCAUCACCUCCCCCUCCAUACUAUUACAAAUCUCCUCCACCACCAUCACCAUCACCACCACCUCCUUACUAUUACAAAUCACCUCCACCACCAUCCCCAUCACCACCACCUCCAUACUACUACAAAAGUCCCCCUCCACCAUCUCCAUCUCCUCCAUCCCCAUAUUACUACAAAUCUCCACCACCACCAUCACCAUCCCCACCCCCUCCCUACUAUUACAAAUCACCUCCACCUCCCUCACCAUCACCGCCACCUCCUUACUAUUACAAAUCACCUCCACCUCCCUCACCAUCACCGCCACCUCCUUACUAUUACAAAUCUCCCCCACCUCCAUCUCCAUCUCCACCACCUCCUUACCACUAUCAAAGUCCUCCUCCACCAUCUCCCAUUUCUCAUCCUCCCUACUACUACAAAUCCCCUCCACCACCAUCGCCGUCUCCUCCACCUCCUUACCACUAUGUGAGUCCUCCCCCACCAGUAAAGUCACCUCCACCACCAACUUAUAUCUAUGCUUCACCACCACCACCUCACUACAACUAAGCUCAAAGAGCAGAAGCUCCGUUCAUUAUAAAUCAUGUAAGUUUAUCAUCUUCAAUUUUCUGAAUGUGUGCGUGUGUAUUUGUUUUUUUGUUACAAGAUACUAACAAAAUUCUUUUCUUAUUUAUGUUCAGGUUUUAGUUUUCAUCUAGGAAUAAAGGCAAGCUCCAUUUGGAGUAAAGUGAAACUUCUAGCUUCGUGUCCGAAUUCGUUAAAUAAAUGUCGGGAUGUAUCGUCUUUGAGCUAUAAUAUUUCUGAUCCAGACAAUAUCUAUUUUGUUUCUUUGGUGGCAAUCUUGCACUUCCUGGUCUUAGUCUAUUCAAGUGACAGACAAAUCAAAAGGGAGAAGCGAGAUUAAUUUAUUUGUGAUCUCUUUGAUUUAUUUGUGCAUAUAUCAAUAUGAACGUGUAUGAUAUUUUUCUAUUUAUUGAAGAUUUUUUUACUGUAACCUGUUAUUGUGUUUGUCAAAAGGUGUUAAUAAAGAAUCACAUUCAAUUUCUGUUAAAUUAUCAGUAUUUGUUUCUUUCUAACAACUACCAUUCAUGCAAAUGUGGCUAUUAAAAAAAGCUCCAAUGACACAUAAAAAGCUUCCAAACAAUAUAUAAACAAAGAUGCAUUGUUUUCUGUUAAGAAGGGGACAGGGUUACGGUUACUUGUGUACCAAGUUAGUUAUCCAUGCUUUCUUGUUCAUAGGAUUUAUAUGGUGUAGUUGCACUUAGUUGCUAAAUGUAUGCAAGCUUUUCCUUUCUAUAAAUAAGCACACCUACUAUCAUUCUUCUCCACAUUCCUUUCUACUCUUCUAUCAUGAAUUGUUCAUCCACAUAAGAUGGUCACAGAGCACACCUAAUACUCUGCUACUGGUGUAUCAGUUCCUUUCCACCAGAAACUUAUGAUCUCUAAUUGAAAGAGAUCCUAAAGUUUUAAGAUUUCUACAAAAUACAUUAUUCUCAUUUUUGUACAAGUAUGAUACAAUUAUUCCCAAGUAUUAUUUAUUCUAAGGAAUAGAAUUUAGUUGUGGUUUCUCUAUUUAACCAACAUUUAUUUUUAAAUAACUAAAUUUAAAAAAAAAAUCCUGAAAUUAUUAAGUACAUACCUAACACAUUGUAAAAUUUUGUUCCCAAAGAAAAUAUUUUUGGCAAUAGAAUUUUCAGGAACUUCAUUCCUAGGAAUAUAAUUCUAUACUAAGAGAAGAGCUUAAGCAUUGAUACAUAACAAGACCAAUCCAUAUCCUAAUCACAAUCCUACUUUCACUAAAUACUUUCACUUAAGUGUGGUCUUGGAAAGGACAAAUGAAGAAAGACAUUCCAGAGGUAUGGUAAGGGACAAUAUCUGCAGUUAUGCACAUAUUGCAAGAUUGUGAGGAACUACCGGACUGAUUUGAUUCACCAAAAAAUUUGGAAUAAAUAUUUCAGCCCAGAACUCAGACAAUGACUGGAUUGGAACCUUUCAGCUUCUAAUAUCGGUACUGUCCAAGGAAAUAGUCAUUCUCUUUUUGGAGUAGCUGUGAAGGAUUUAUGGAAAGAUAGAACUAAGCUGGUCUUUUCUAGAAACACCGCGAUUGGAACUACUCUAUUUUGGCUUGUAGCCAAUCCGGCUAAGUUUAUUAACAAUGUAGUUUGUACUCAAGCUCACAGUCACGAUGUUGUCAGCAACAGUGGGCAUAUUGUUUAGGUAGCCUGGAAUUUUCCUCCCCAACACUUCUUCAAAGUGAAUAUGAUGGAUCUCUACGGGAUUAUGUUAGUUUCCAGGAUCGAACUCAGAACCUCCUGAUUAUAACUCCUUCAAUGUAUGUCCCUUACCCACGUGGGGCCUCGGCUGUAAUUGUUAACAUGGUAAAAUUUGGCUCUUCCAAUAAUGGUUUUAUCCAAACUCGAGGUUGUUUAUCGUCUCCAACAAUCAGAUUGGAGAAUACUAGUGGUUCAUGCAUUUGAACAAACCAACUGUUGUGCAGAUUUUCUAGUUGAUUUUGUUUUUCCUUUUUUGAGUAUUUUAUUAGCCAAUGAUAUAAGAGGUUGUAGCCUACCUCUUUUGAUUUCUUAAGACAAUCACUUUUGCAUUAGAAAAAAACGACCCUACAUAAAAUUAAUGAUUGAAUUAAGAUAUAACUUCAGUUUGAAAUAUUGUAAAAUUCUAUACCACCAAAAACUGAGAAUUUUAGAACCAUACAGGUUGGUGGAGUGGUCAUCCAGAUAACUUUAACAUAAUUAACAGUCCAAAAAGUAAAUAGCUUUAUCCUUUAUUUUCAAUCUGAUGUGAUUUACUCUUAUCUGUUAAACAUUAUAAUUAAGAAUCCAAAGGGAACACUCACCUAAUCUCUCUCUUUUUUCUAGCUUUUUCACUAAACCACUGUGUCUGUGGUUACCACAUUUCCUUAUGGAAUCAAUAUCCAAUUUAUGUUAAAAACCAUUUCUACAUUUUGUGUUAAAAAUGAUCUAAACAAAGAUGAUUUAUUUCUCUUAAAUUCAACAUAGAUCAUAUUUACAUGGUUCAAACUUUCUAUUACACGGCAUUGACUUAGUUGCUUCACAUGGGGACACAACUAAUGCAUAUAUUAUUUUAUAUGCUUAUAGUAAUUUUAACAAGUGGCAAUGGGGCAUAUGUUUUGUCAAAAAAACACAAAAAACAGGAGGCAUGUGCAACUGAAGUCACUGCCAGCUUGGCACUAAGAUAUAGUAAAAUAAUUGACAUUUGAAGAAAACAAAGACGUUGCUACAUUUCUAUUCAAACAAGCGACAUCAAUAUCAGACAAUGGUGCUACAUUUAAUAAUACUACAGCUAUCCCCAUAAGCACCUCUUAGAAAGAAAAAAAAAUAUCCAUUAAAUUAAUGUUGGAAGAGUUAGCAACAUGUCCUCUCCCAAAAAAACUCAUGUUUGAUUCCUAGAGUCGUCCAUUUCGAAAGAAGCUCAACCCUGAUAAUAAAAACCUAGAUGUUAUGCUGCAGACUUAAAGAUCAAUUUCAUAAUGGAUCCAAAGGGCCUAAGCUGUGUGGGAUACUUAAGGGGGUAUAUUGAGGCUAAGGGUCAAAGAUCUUAAUUAUGGUCGGUUAAAAAAAGAAGAAAAAAAAAUUAUCUCUAAAUAUAAAGUCAACAAUAUUUCAAAUUGCAAGAUACAUUUAUUUAUUUUUUAAAUAUGUAUAUACCUCUUAUUAAUACUUACUAAUUUGUUUUGAGUGAUAAAAAGUUACGAGUUAGACAGAUCAGCACAUAAAAAAAGUAUUUGAAAAACAUCUACCAACAAAAUAAACACAUUAAAAACAAUACUACUUUUUUACAAUACUGUAUGUGAAAAUGACAAAAUCUUGAAAAAGAUGGAGGUAACAUGUACUCUUUUUUUUUUAGAGGGGAGCAUGUACUUUUCCACUAACAAUGUUGAUAAGAAACAUAUAAAAUACUAUUAGAGAAAGAAAAAAAAUAAUAAAUAAAGAAAUAUAUAAAAUACUGAGGAAUGACUCACUCAUGUCAAAUUUUAGCAAGGGAGAAGUGAUAUCACAUCAUUUUAGAAGAGGAAUGAGAAUAGAUAGAUCUAAUUUUUCUAGUAAGUUUGAAUAGUAGAAUCAUACUUCUUUGUCUUUUGUGAAAAUUUCAUAUUAUGGGAUCUAUUACUAGAAUACAGGUGAUUUUAUUCUGGAAGAUUGACUUUUUAUUAAAAUAAAAUAAAAGUACAUUUUUUAUUUCCAAAUGCUUAGUUGUUCAUUUAUAAAUAUUACAUUAUCCAACAGCACCAAACCCUAUUUCAUAACGGUACUCUGCACGUUUCAUUCAUUUACUGGUGCCUUAGUUUUUUGUUACAAACAGACAUUGAUCAGAGGAACAAAUGUAGAGACAAAUUGAAGAUAAUAUAUCACAUAAUAUUGUAGACACACCUUCACAUACAAAUGGGGUAAAGUCCCUCAUAGUAGUAUUAGAAAUAACACUUAGAGUAAAAUUUUGCUAAAUUUAACAUGAAAAUAAGUGUAAUGUAUUUUAUAGGCAGCUAUACAUAAUUAUUAAUUAGAACAAUUUUUUACACUGUCAAACAAAAAUUGAACAAUUUUUUACUAGCUUUAUGCUUUAUGAUGUUUUGAUUCCAUGUGCACAUUUCAAUUUUAGAACUAUUCCUUUCUAUGUUACUGAAAUAAUUCUAUCAUUAGGCAUUGACAUUUCCAUUAUGCGUGCACGUUAAAGUGUUUUCCCAAACAGAGAAAUAUUAAGAAAGGUUAAACUUUUGACUUAAAGACACAACUAAAAUAAGAUCCAAGGAAAACCCCAUUGAUUAUUUCUUGCACAAAAUUAAAAACCCCAUUGAUUAUUUCUUGCACAAAAUUAAAAUGCUAAUAAUUUUUCCUGGUCUAUAUUUUUCUCCUUCCGGGAAAUGGCAACAUCACAUGUUCAUCUCAUAAUUGAGAAAACACAUGUCUGGGAAAAUAUCUUAAAGAAAAGGCAGUAAAGUAAUAAAAAGUGCACCAAAUAGAGAUUAACUAGUACUCUUUGCAUGUCAACUAAGUGGUAUAAUUAUGUAUAUCACAUUCUUAAUAUUGAUUAUCUUGAUUGCACGAUAAGCCCCUCAAAUUGCUCAAUCGAUGAUUGCUUGAUAAGCCCAUCAAAUUGCCCAAUCGAUCGAAUCGUAACUUUCGAUAGACAUUUUUUUUAAGAAAACCCAAUUGGAUCAUAACUCCCCAUAGUCAUUUAUUUGAAAUUGUGAGCAAUUUGAUAACUUAUUGAGCAAUCACCAUUGAUUUUAGUCUCAAUUUAUCCUAAUGUUGUAACCCUGGAAUAAUGGAACAGUGAGUAAAUUUGGUUUCUCCGUCUCAAAAUAAGUGUCACAAUUUAACCAUGUGCACUACUCAUCAAAUCUACUUUGACAACAUUUUUUUUACUAAUAUAUAAAGACAAUGUUAGUACAUUACAUGUUCGAUUUGUCUUAGUUAAUGUUUUUAAAAUAUCGACUUUAUUAUAAUUUUUCUUAAUAGACAAUCAAAAAUAUCAAUUGUCAAAAUUGUGUAUUGAUAUGUAUGAAAAUCAAACUAUAACACUUACUUUGAGACGAAGAGAAUAACUAUUAAAAACUAAUGUUCAAAUAGAAAGAAAAGAAAACAAAGAUUCCAUACAAAGCUUGCAAAAUAGCUACAAUCAUAACCUAGAACAAAAAUCAUGACCACACACUAUAUCCAUUUUCCUUUUCCUAAAAAGCAAUUGAAGAUAAAAAAAAAAAAAAUAAUAAAUAAAAAAAAAAAAAAAAAAAAAAAAAANACCACCAUACUACUACAAAUCCCCACCUCCACCAUCGCCUUCUCCUCCACCACCAUACUACUACAAAUCCCCACCUCCACCAUCGCCUUCUCCUCCACCACCAUACUACUACAAAUCCCCACCUCCACCAUCGCCUUCUCCUCCACCACCAUACUACUACAAAUCCCCACCUCCACCAUCGCCUUCUCCUCCACCACCAUACUACUACAAAUCCCCACCUCCACCAUCGCCUUCUCCUCCACCACCAUACUACUACAAAUCCCCACCUCCACCAUCGCCUUCUCCUCCACCACCAUACUACUACAAAUCCCCACCUCCACCAUCGCCUUCUCCUCCACCACCAUACUACUACAAAUCCCCACCUCCACCAUCGCCUUCUCCUCCACCACCAUACUACUACAAAUCCCCACCUCCACCAUCGCCUUCUCCUCCACCACCAUACUACUACAAAUCCCCACCUCCACCAUCGCCUUCUCCUCCACCACCAUACUACUACAAAUCCCCACCUCCACCAUCGCCUUCUCCUCCACCACCAUACUACUACAAAUCCCCACCUCCACCAUCGCCUUCUCCUCCACCACCAUACUACUACAAAUCCCCACCUCCACCAUCGCCUUCUCCUCCACCACCAUACUACUACAAAUCCCCACCUCCACCAUCGCCUUCUCCUCCACCACCAUACUACUACAAAUCCCCACCUCCACCAUCGCCUUCUCCUCCACCACCAUACUACUACAAAUCCCCACCUCCACCAUCGCCUUCUCCUCCACCACCAUACUACUACAAAUCCCCACCUCCACCAUCGCCUUCUCCUCCACCACCAUACUACUACAAAUCCCCACCUCCACCAUCGCCUUCUCCUCCACCACCAUACUACUACAAAUCCCCACCUCCACCAUCGCCUUCUCCUCCACCACCAUACUACUACAAAUCCCCACCUCCACCAUCGCCUUCUCCUCCACCACCAUACUACUACAAAUCCCCACCUCCACCAUCGCCUUCUCCUCCACCACCAUACUACUACAAAUCCCCACCUCCACCAUCGCCUUCUCCUCCACCACCAUACUACUACAAAUCCCCACCUCCACCAUCGCCUUCUCCUCCACCACCAUACUACUACAAAUCCCCACCUCCACCAUCGCCUUCUCCUCCACCACCAUACUACUACAAAUCCCCACCUCCACCAUCGCCUUCUCCUCCACCACCAUACUACUACAAAUCCCCACCUCCACCAUCGCCUUCUCCUCCACCACCAUACUACUACAAAUCCCCACCUCCACCAUCGCCUUCUCCUCCACCACCAUACUACUACAAAUCCCCACCUCCACCAUCGCCUUCUCCUCCACCACCAUACUACUACAAAUCCCCACCUCCACCAUCGCCUUCUCCUCCCCCACCUUACUAUUACAAAUCCCCACCGCCACCUUCACCAUCUCCCCCACCACCCUACUACUAUAAAUCACCCCCACCACCUUCACCAUCUCCUCCACCACCAUACUACUACAAAUCACCCCCACCGCCAUAUGAACACAAGACUAAACCAUACUAUUACAAGUCUCCUCCACCACCAUAUGAACACAAGACUAAACCAUACUAUUACAAGUCCCCACCACCACCUUCACCAUCUCCUCCACCACCAUACUAUUACAAGUCCCCACCACCACCUUCACCGUCUCCACCCCCACCAUACUACUACAAAUCACCUCCUCCUCCAUCACCUAUUCCCCAUACACCUUACUACUACAAGUCCCCACCACCACCUAAGGUUCUUCCACCACCAUACUAUUACAACUCUCCUCCUCCACCUGUUGUGUAUCAUCACCCUCAUCCCUACCACCAUGCAUUGAUCGUGAAGGUAGUGGGUAACGUCUACAGCUUCAGAUGUUAUGACUGGGAGUAUCCUGAAAAGUCUCAUAACAAGAAACACCUCAAAGGUACAUCACAUUACAUUUCUCAAUUCUUUCAUUUUUAUAGAUUUUAUGUACAUCACUAUUGGCUCGUAGUUUCUCAAUACCAUUACAACUAAACUGCAAGUUUCAGUAAUGAGAUUCAUAUAGACAUGUUUUUAUUAACAUCUUUGUUUCUUAGAAAUUAUACAAACACUUAAUUUAGGUUUCUCCAUGUCCAAUAAAGUAAACAAUUGAUAUAUCAAAUUAACAUAUAUGAUAUAUCAUUUACCUCAUUAAAAUUUAAUAAUCCUGCCUAAUAUAAAGAUUCGGUUUGAAAAUGAUAGUUUAGUGAGCUUCUUUAUAAUAACACUCUCCAAUAUAUUAUGUUUUAAAAACAAUUAUAUUUCUAUUUGUCUAAAUUCAAAUUUGUUAUGGGACAGGUGCUGUUGUUGAAGUGACAUGCAAAGCCGGGAGCAAAAUCAUCAAGGCUUACGGUAAAACUAAGAUCAAUGGAAAGUAUGCCAUCACAGUUAAGGACUUUGACUAUGUCAAAUAUGGUUCAACAGUGUGCAAGGCUGCCCUUUAUGCUCCACCUAAGGGUUCACCCUUCAACAUACCUACAAAGCUAAACCAAGGAACAAACUUGUACUUGAAAUCCAAAGACAAGUACGAGGUUGUGCUCAAGGCUAAGCCAUUUGCUUAUGCUUCAAAGAAACAUUUCAAAGAAUGUGAGAAGUCCAAGCCUUCACCAACUCCUUACUACUACAAAUCACCUCCACCUCCCUCACCAGUUUACAAGUAUAACUCACCACCUCCACCCGUCCAUUAUUACUCACCUCCAUAUUACUACAAGUCACCUCCUCCCCCCGUGAAAGCGGCACCAACUCCUUACUACUACAAAUCACCUCCACCUCCCGCACCAGUUUACAAGUACAACUCCCCACCUCCGCCAGUCCAUUACUAUUCACCUCCAUACACCUAUAAGUCACCUCCUCCUCCUGUGAAAGCAGCACCAACUCCUUACUACUACAAAUCACCUCCACCUCCCGCACCGGUUUACAAGUACAACUCACCACCUCCACCGGUCCAUUAUUAUUCUCCACCAUACUACUACAAGUCACCACCCCCACCAUCUCCAUCACCUCCUCCACCAUACUAUUUCAAAUACUAUUACAAGUCCCCACCUCCACCAUCACCAUCCCCUCCUCCACCUUAUUAUUACAAAUCUCCUCCUCCACCAAAACAAAUUUCACACCCUCCAUACUACUAUAAGUCACCACCCCCACCAUCACCAUCACCUCCUCCACCAUACUAUUAUAAGUCUCCACCUCCACCAUCACCAUCUCCCCCACCACCUUAUUAUUAUAAGUCACCACCCCCACCAUCCCCGUCCCCUCCUCCACCAUACUACUACAAGUCUCCACCUCCACCUAAAGAAAUAUCACAUCCUCCAUAUAACUAUAAGUCACCACCCCCACCAUCACCAUCCCCUCCCCCUCCAUACUAUUACAAAUCUCCUCCACCACCAUCACCAUCACCACCACCUCCCUACUAUUACAAAUCACCUCCACCACCAUCACCAUCACCUCCCCCUCCAUACUAUUACAAAUCUCCUCCACCACCAUCACCAUCACCACCACCUCCUUACUAUUACAAAUCACCUCCACCACCAUCCCCAUCACCACCACCUCCAUACUACUACAAAAGUCCCCCUCCACCAUCUCCAUCUCCUCCAUCCCCAUAUUACUACAAAUCUCCACCACCACCAUCACCAUCCCCACCCCCUCCCUACUAUUACAAAUCAC